UACGAAGGGGGCUAGCGUUGUCCGGAAUCACUGGGCGUAAAGGGCGCGUAGGCGGCGCGGGUAGUCAACGGUGAAAGCUUGGGGCUCAACCCCGGGGCGUGCGGUGGAUACUGCCGGGCUAGAGGGUGGUAGAGGCGAGUGGAAUUCCCGGUGUAGCGGUGAAAUGCGCAGAUAUCGGGAGGAACACCAGUAGCGAAGGCGGCUCGCUGGGCCAUUCCUGACGCUGAGACGCGAAAAGCUAGGGGGAGCGAACAGG
rnacentral:rRNA from 1 species